rnacentral:rRNA from 1 species
UACGUAGGGUGCGAGCGUUAAUCGGAAUUACUGGGCGUAAAGCGUGCGCGAGGCGGUUUUUGUAAAGACAGGCGUGAAAAUCCCCGGGCUUAAACCUGGGAACUGCGCUUGUGACUGCAAGGCUAGAGUACGGCAGAGGGGGGUGGAAUUCCACGUGUAGCAGUGAAAUGCGUAGAGAUGUGGAGGAACACCAAUGGCGAAGGCAGCCCCCUGGGUCGAUACUGACGCUCAUGCACGAAAGCGUGGGUAGCAAACAGGAUUAGAUACCCUGGUAGUCCACGCCCUAAACUAUGUCAACUAGGUGUUGGGUGGGUAAAACCAUUUAGUACCGUAGCUAACGCGUGAAGUUGACCGCCUGGGGAGUACGGCCGCAAGGUUAAAAACUCAAAGGAAUUGACGGG